CCUCAUUCAUCUUCAUUAUAUUGAAGGAUAUUCUAUAUAAUUUCACCAUUUGUGUUCCACAAAAGAAAAAGUAAUAGGGGUGUGAGGUUAAGUAAAUAGUGUCAGAAUCAGUCACAAGAAGAUGAGGCAACAAUAAGAGAGAUAAUGAAGACCACAACAUCACAGACAACCAAGGGAAUUGUCACAGCCUGACAGUCACAAGAAGAUGAGGCAACAAUAACUGAGAUAAUGAAGACCAGAACAUCACAGACAACCAGGAGAAUCAGAGUUAUGC